GUCACAAUGGGCUCUGCACUAGGAAGGCCAGGCCAUCUCUGGGCUGAGCUUAUUUCUCCUGAGGGUCACAGUAUUCCAAGCAAUCAAACACCCUGUCCAGCGUGGGUACAGACUCAUGCACAGACAGCUUUGGGGCACUGAUUUUGUACACCAGACGGGUAAAUGGAGAAUUCAAAGUCCAAGCAUCAUAGACGUAAAAAAAGGAAAAAAGAGUCAAACAACUUGAAACAUGAUUCUAGCAAUGUUCUGAGCAGGUAAUGAUACUACCUAUACUUUGUGUGGUGUCGUAUUUUGAGUGCUGUAGUACAAAUUUAUCUUUUCAGAAAGAGAAAAUGUGGACUCAAGGCAGACUUUUUGGUAAAUUUGCAUAGAUUUUUAUUUUCCA
rnacentral:lncRNA from 1 species